CAAGUCGAACGGAGCACCCUUGACUGAGGUUUCGGCCAAAUGAUAGGAAUGCUUAGUGGCGGACUGGUGAGUAACGCGUGAGGAACCUACCUUCCAGAGGGGGACAACAGUUGGAAACGACUGCUAAUACCGCAUGACGCAUGACCGGGGCAUCCCGGGCAUGUCAAAGAUUUUAUCGCUGGAAGAUGGCCUCGCGUCUGAUUAGCUAGAUGGUGGGGUAACGGCCCACCAUGGCGACGAUCAGUAGCCGGACUGAGAGGUUGACCGGCCACAUUGGGACUGAGAUACGGCCCAGACUCCUACGGGAGGCAGCAGUGGGGAAUAUUGGGCAAUGGACGCAAGUCUGACCCAGCAACGCCGCGUGAAGGAAGAAGGCUUUCGGGUUGUAAACUUCUUUUGUCAGGGAAGAGUAGAA
rnacentral:rRNA from 1 species